UACAGAGGGGGCAAGCGUUGUUCGGAAUUAUUGGGCGUAAAGGGCGCGUAGGCGGCCGUUCAGGUCGGGGGUGAAAGCCUGUGGCUCAACCACAGAAUGGCCUUCGAUACUGGACGGCUCGAGACCGGAAGAGGUCAGUGGAACUGCGAGUGUAGAGGUGAAAUUCGUAGAUAUUCGCAAGAACACCAGUGGCGAAGGCGGCUGACUGGUCCGGUUCUGACGCUGAGGCGCGAAAGCGUGGGGAGCAAACAGG
rnacentral:rRNA from 1 species